ensembl:snRNA U1 U1 spliceosomal RNA
AAACUUGAGGCAAAGAUUAAGUUGCUAACAACUUAUUUGGGAGGUACAAACCCAGGACCUCAAGGAUAAAGGAAAGGGAAGCAAAGGAAAAUGUAAUGACCCCUGCGAUUUCCCCAAAUAUGGAAAACUCGACUGCAUAAUUUGUGGUAGUGGGGGACUGCGUUCGUGCUUUCCCCUA